AUUGAACGCUGGCGGCAUGCCUUACACAUGCAAGUCGAACGGCAGCACGGGUGCUUGCACCUGGUGGCGAGUGGCGAACGGGUGAGUAAUACAUCGGAACAUGUCCUGUAGUGGGGGAUAGCCCGGCGAAAGCCGGAUUAAUACCGCAUACGAUCUACGGAUGAAAGCGGGGGACCUUCGGGCCUCGCGCUAUAGGGUUGGCCGAUGGCUGAUUAGCUAGUUGGUGGGGUAAAGGCCUACCAAGGCGACGAUCAGUAGCUGGUCUGAGAGGACGACCAGCCACACUGGGACUGAGACACGGCCCAGACUCCUACGGGAGGCAGCAGUGGGGAAUUUUGGACAAAGGGCGAAAGCCUGAUCCAGCAAUGCCGCGUGUGUGAAGAAGGCCUUCGGGCUGUAAAGCACUUUUGUCCGGAAAGAAAUCCUUGGCCCUAAUACGGUCGGGGGAUGACGGUACCGGAAGAAUAAGCACCGGCUAACUACGUG
rnacentral:rRNA from 1 species